UACGUAGGGUGCGAGCGUUGUCCGGAUUUAUUGGGCGUAAAGAGCUCGUAGGCGGUUUGUCGCGUCGGCCGUGAAAUCUCCACGCUUAACGUGGAGCGUGCGGUCGAUACGGGCAGACUAGAGUACUGCAGGGGAGACUGGAAUUCCUGGUGUAGCGGUGGAAUGCGCAGAUAUCAGGAGGAACACCGGUGGCGAAGGCGGGUCUCUGGGCAGUAACUGACGCUGAGGAGCGAAAGCGUGGGGAGCGAACAGG
rnacentral:rRNA from 1 species